AAGUAGGCCCGAUUUUUUGGGCUCGAGGGAUCGCCUUAAGCCCGAUUAGGUAAGGUCGAGUUCGAGCUUGAUGGAUCAGACUUGAGUUCGAAUACAGAGUGCAAUGCCCGAGGAUCGAAGUGCACGACGGGUAUCAGAGUCAAGUACGAUCAUCUUCGAGAUGGUAACAUUAUAAAUUUGUUACAGAAGGACAAUAUUCCCACCACAUCCCCAAAAUCAUAGUGUAAAUUUCGGAAUAGAUUUGUACGAAUCCGUACUAUGCUGUUAGACAACUGUCCCAAUAAGAUUCUUUACAGUAAAUAGAAAUAUACCUUAUUUAGGGUUCCCCUAUUAUAUAAAGGAACCCCAAUCAUUUGUAAAAGUCAUCUGAUCGUUGGAAAAAAU
rnacentral:lncRNA from 1 species